UACAGAGGUCUCAAGCGUUGUUCGGAUUCAUUGGGCGUAAAGGGUGCGUAGGCGGCGCGGUAAGUCGGGUGUGAAAUCUCGGGGCUUAACUCCGAAACUGCAUUCGAUACUGCCGUGCUUGAGGACUGGAGAGGAGACUGGAAUUUACGGUGUAGCGGUGAAAUGCGUAGAUAUCGUAAGGAAGACCAGUGGCGAAGGCGGGUCUCUGGGCCUUACCUGACGCUCAGGUGCGAAAGCUAGGGGAGCGAACAGG
rnacentral:rRNA from 1 species